ensembl:lncRNA
UCCAGGAUCUGUGGGUCCAGGAUCUGUGGGUCUGGGCUCCAUGGGUCUGGGAUCUGUGGGUCCAGGAUCUGUGGGUCUAGGAUCCAUGGGUUCAGGAUCUGUGCGUCUAGGAUCUAUGGGUCUGGGCUCCAUGGGUCCGGGCUCUGCCCCCCAGCGCCCCCCAUUCCGUCCCCGCCAUGGCCGCGCUCACGUCCCGUGCCUCGGCCGCCAUCUGUGCCAUGGCAGCGGCGGCUCCGCGCUCCCGGCUCCAUGCCAGCAGGAAGCGGCACUUCCUCCUCGCCCGGCCCAGCCGCUCCCGUUCCCGGUCCCAUUCCCGCUCCCAUUCCCAUUCCCAGUCCCGUUCCCGUUCCCAGUCCUGUUCCCAUUCCUGGUCCCGUUCCCGCUCCCGUUCCCAUUCCCAUUCCCGCUCCCGUUCCCAUUCCCAUUCCCGUUCCCAUUCCCGGUCCCAUUCCCGUUCCCAGUCCCGUUCCCAUUCCCGGUCCCGUUCCCGGUCCCGUUCCCGGUCCCAUUCCCAGUCCCAUUCCCGCUCCCGUUCCCAUUCCCACUCCCGUUCCCAUUCCCGCUCCCGGUCCCAUUCCCGUUCCCAGUCCCAAUCCCGUUCCCGUUCCCGCUCCCCCCUGCCCCGCAUCUUCCUCUGUGCCGCUCCCAGCAUAGCCCCCAGGUGCCCCAAUGCUGCAGGGUCAGGAUCUGUGGGUCUGGAGGUUUGGGGUCUGGGAUCCGCGGCUCUCGAAGUUGUGGGUCUGAGCUCUGUGGGUCUGGAGGUCGUGGGUCCGGGAGCUGUGGGUCUCAAGGUUGUGGGUCUGGAGUCCAUGGGUCUGUGCUCCAUGGGUCUGGAGGUUGUGGGUCCAGGAUCUGUGGGUCUCAAGGUUGUGGGUCUGGGGUCCGUGGGUCUGGAGGUCAUGGGUCCAGGAUCCGUGGGUCAGGAUCCGUGGGUCAGGAUCCAUGGGUCCAGGAUCUGUGGGUCUGGGUUCUGUAGGCCAUGGGUCUGGAGGUCGUGGGUCUAGGAUCCGUGGGUCAGGAUCCGUGGGUCCAGGAUCUGUGGGUCUGGGGGCUGCGGGUCUGGAGUCCAUGGGUCUGGAGGUCGUGUGUCCAGGAUCCGUGGGUCUGGGCUCCAUGGGUCCGGGCUCCGCCCCCCAGCGCCCCCCAUUCCGUCCCCGCCAUGGCCGCGCUCACGUCCCGUGCCUCGGCCGCCAUCUGUGCCAUGGCAGCGGCGGCUCCGCGCUNCAGUCCAUGGGACCCCCCCUCCAUGCAUGGGACCAUGUCCCAUCAGUCAUUAAUUAAUUAACGAGCUCUUCUGUCCCUUCUGGCCCCAUGAGAGCCCAUAUGGGUCCAAACCCCGUUCAUUAAUUAAUUAACGAGCUCCUCCGUCCCUCCUGGCUCUAUGAGUGGACGCUUGGGUUCCGUUUCUCAUCAUUUAUUAAUUAUUAAUUAACGAGCCUCUCCAUCCCUCCCGGCCCCAUGAGAGCCCAUACUGGGUCCAUACCCCACCCAUUCAUUAAUUAACCCAGCUCCUAAUGAACGAGCUCCAUCAUUAAUUAAUGGUGCUCCGCUUUGUGCUCCAUUGGCAUCUCCUGCAGCAGCGCCCCGUGGCCGGGGGGCUGGGAUCUGUGGGUCUGGGGUCCGUGGGUCCGGGCUCCGUGGGUCUGGGGGCUGUGGGUCCAGGAUCUGUAGGUCCAGGAUCCGUGGGUCUGGGCUCCAUGGGUCCAGGAUCUGUGGGUCCAGGAUCCAUGGGUCUGGGCUCCGUGGGUCUGGGGGCUGUGGGUCCAGGAUCUGUGGGUCUGGGCUCCAUGGGUCC